rnacentral:rRNA from 1 species
GCCAGAGCCAUAUCUUUGUGCAGCGCUCGCCUGGUUUCCCACUGAAGUUAAGCAGGGUUGAGUCUGGCCAGUACCUGGAUGGGAGACCUGGAGAAAACUAAUGUUGCUGCUGGAA